UACAGAGGGUGCAAGCGUUAAUCGGAAUUACUGGGCGUAAAGCGUGCGUAGACGGUUAUUUAAGUCAGGUGUGAAAGCCCCGGGCUCAACCUGGGAACUGCAUUCGAGACUGCAUUGCUAGAGUAUGGGAGAGGGAAGUGGAAUUUCCGGUGUAGCGGUGAAAUGCGUAGAUAUCGGAAGGAACAUCAGUGGCGAAAGCGACUUCCUGGACCAAUACUGACGCUCAUGUGCGAAAGCGUGGGGAGCAAACAGG
rnacentral:rRNA from 1 species